UACGUAGGGGGCAAGCGUUGUCCGGAAUCAUUGGGCGUAAAGAGCGUGUAGGCGGCCAUACAGGUCAGCUGUGAAAACUCGAGGCUCAACCUCGAGACGUCGGUUGAAACCGUAUGGCUAGAGUCCGGAAGAGGAGAGUGGAAUUCCCGGUGUAGCGGUGAAAUGCGCAGAUAUCGGGAAGAACACCCGUGGCGAAGGCGGCUCUCUGGGACGGUACUGACGCUGAGACGCGAAAGCGUGGGGAGCAAACAGG
rnacentral:rRNA from 1 species